GAAGGUUAUAGGACGCCACGCCGCCCACCUGCUCCUCCUCAUUUCAGUCUCUCUCCGCUGAGGCCGACCAUCGGUUAUGGAUUUUGGCAGCGAAGAUGUUCAUGGUGAUAGUAACAACAACAACGAUUUCAUGCAUUUUCCAACAACGAUGCUUGUUUCAAGGAAUGGUUAAACUACAUGCAUGGAAUUGAACCAGGUGCUAUCAUCACAGACCAAGACUGAGCAAUGUGUAAUGCCAUUCAUAAAGUCUUUCCAAACACAAGGCAUCGUUAUUGUUAUUGGCAUCUGCAGCGACAUAUUGCCGGUCAUUUGCAUACUUUGAAUUCUAUUUAUGGUGAAGAAUUUCAAAAAUAUUGGGACUUGUGGUGUAAUAGUGGUAACAUUGAGAACUGUAAUUUGCAUUGGCUGGAGAUGAAGGAGAAGUUUAAGAUAAUAGAAGAAGAAGAUGGAUGGCUGCAAACUAUGUACAUGUAUCGAGACCAUUGAGUGUCAUGCUUCUUAAAAGGCAUUUUUUUCUUAAAAGGCAUUUUUUUACAGUCAUGGAAUAUGUACACUCUAAUGUUUGGAGCAGUGUGCUUCCUUAUAAUUAUGACAAACCUUAGAUAAAUCCUAUUAUUCUCUAUUUCACUUA